rnacentral:rRNA from 1 species
GAUGAACGCAGGCGGCGUGCCUAAUACAUGCAAGUCGAGCGAACGGACGAGAAGCUUGCUUCUCUGAUGUUAGCGGCGGACGGGUGAGUAACACGUGGAUAACCUACCUAUAAGACUGGGAUAACUUCGGGAAACCGGAGCUAAUACCGGAUAAUAUUUUGAACCGCAUGGUUCAAAAGUGAAAGACGGUCUUGCUGUCACUUAUAGAUGGACCCGCGCUGCAUUAGCUAGUUGGUAAGGUAACGGCUUACCAAGGCAACGAUGCAUAGCCGACCUGAGAGGGUGAUCGGCCACACUGGAACUGAGACACGGUCCAGACUCCUACGGGAGGCAGCAGUAGGGAAUCUUCCGCAAUGGGCGAAAGCCUGACGGAGCAACGCCGCGUGAGUGAUGAAGGUCUUCGGAUCGUAAAACUCUGUUAUUAGGGAAGAACAUAUGUGUAAGUAACUGUGCACAUCUUGACGGUACCUAAUCAGAAAGCCACGGCUAACUACGUGCCAGCAGCCGCGGUAAUACGUAGGUGGCAAGCGUUAUCCGGAAUUAUUGGGCGUAAAGCGCGCGUAGGCGGUUUUUUAAGUCUGAUGUGAAAGCCCACGGCUCAACCGUGGAGGGUCAUUGGAAACUGGAAAACUUGAGUGCAGAAGAGGAAAGUGGAAUUCCAUGUGUAGCGGUGAAAUGCGCAGAGAUAUGGAGGAACACCAGUGGCGAAGGCGACUUUCUGGUCUGUAACUGACGCUGAUGUGCGAAAGCGUGGGGAUCAAACAGGAUUAGAUACCCUGGUAGUCCACGCCGUAAACGAUGAGUGCUAAGUGUUAGGGGGUUUCCGCCCCUUAGUGCUGCAGCUAACGCAUUAAGCACUCCGCCUGGGGAGUACGACCGCAAGGUUGAAACUCAAAGGAAUUGACGGGGACCCGCACAAGCGGUGGAGCAUGUGGUUUAAUUCGAAGCAACGCGAAGAACCUUACCAAAUCUUGACAUCCUUUGACAACUCUAGAGAUAGAGCCUUCCCCUUCGGGGGGCAAAGUGACAGGUGGUGCAUGGUUGUCGUCAGCUCGUGUCGUGAGAUGUUGGGUUAAGUCCCGCAACGAGCGCAACCCUUAAGCUUAGUUGCCAUCAUUAAGUUGGGCACUCUAAGUUGACUGCCGGUGACAAACCGGAGGAAGGUGGGGAUGACGUCAAAUCAUCAUGCCCCUUAUGAUUUGGGCUACACACGUGCUACAAUGGACAAUACAAAGGGCAGCGAAACCGCGAGGUCAAGCAAAUCCCAUAAAGUUGUUCUCAGUUCGGAUUGUAGUCUGCAACUCGACUACAUGAAGCUGGAAUCGCUAGUAAUCGUAGAUCAGCAUGCUACGGUGAAUACGUUCCCGGGUCU